UACUAGCGGUCCAAGUCGCAGCCAUCAUUAUUGGGUCUAAAAUAUCCGUAGCUUGCUUAAUAAGUUCCUUGUGAAAUCCUAUCUCUUAAGGAUAGGGCGUGCAGGGAAUACUGCUAAGCUAGAGACUGGAAGACGUAGAAAGUAUGUUCAAAGUAGCGGUAAAAUGUGUUAAUCUUGAGCAGACUCACAAUAGCGAAGGCAUUCUACGAGGACAGUUCUGACAGUAAAGGAUGAAGGCUAGGGGC
rnacentral:rRNA from 1 species